rnacentral:rRNA from 1 species
AGCAGCAGCCGCGGUAAAACGAAGGGUGCAAGCGUUAAUCGGAAUUACUGGGCGUAAAGCGUGCGUAGGCGGUUUGUUAAGUCUGUUGUGAAAUCCCCGGGCCCAACCUGGGAAUGGCAAUGGAUACUGGCAAGCUAGAGUGUGUCAGAGGAUGGUGGAAUUCCCGGUGUAGCGGUGAAAUGCGUAGAGAUCGGGAGGAACAUCAGUGGCGAAGGCGGCCAUCUGGGACAACACUGACGCUGAGGCACGAAAGCGUGGGGAGCAAACAGGAUUAGAUACCCCCGUAGUCCCUGUCUCUUAUAC